rnacentral:rRNA from 1 species
GCGGAGGAAAAGAAACUAACAAGGAUUCCCCUAGUAACGGCGAGUGAAGAGGGAAGAGCUCAAAUUUUAAAUCUGCCUUGUUCCAAGGUCGAGUUGUAAUUUGAAGAAGCGUUUUCUUGGGCUCGCGGCCGGUAGAAGUUCUUUGGAACAGGACAUCAUAGAGGGUGACAAUCCCGUCCGUGACCGGUCGUGCGUUCAUNUACGAUACGCUUUCAAAGAGUCGAGUUGUUUGGGAUUGCAGCUCCAAACGGGUGGUAAACAUCACCUAAGGCUAAAUAUUGGCGAGAGACCGAUAGCGAACAAGUACCGUGAGGGAAAGAUGAAAAGAACUUUGAAAAGAGAGUUAAACAGUACGUGAAAUUGUUGAAAGGGAAACGAUUGAAGUCAGUCGUGCUGGCGCGAAAUCAACCCUCUCGUCUUGAGAUCACAUGGCGCGACGAGCCUCAAAACCGUCACGAAGCGUGAACUCUUGACGAAAAGGUGCACUUUCGUGUCCGCUGGUUAACAUCAAUUUCGAACGUCAUAAAAAGGCUGGAGGGAUGUGGCUCCUUCGGGAGUGUUAUAACCUUUAGCGGAAUGUGGCGUUCGGGAUUGAGGAUUGCAACGAAUACCUUCAGGGCUGUUCCACCUGGCUUCUCAUUGGUAUCCUGGUGACGACAGCUUGCUGACGUCGUUAGGAUCAGCUUCUGAACAGGCUAGAGUGUGAGCAAAUUCGUUAAGGAUGUUAACGUAAUGGCUUUAAACGACCCGUCUUGA